GGGCUGUGAUGACUGAGAACAUUCCUCGAUUCUGAUAAGGACCAAAUCAAGUUGUUUGGUCUGUGAUGACAAAUCAAGUUGUUUGGUCUGUGAUGACAAUGUUUGUGCGUGUCUGAGCCUC
rnacentral:snoRNA from 1 species